rnacentral:rRNA from 1 species
GAUGAACGCUGGCGGCGUGCCUAAUACAUGCAAGUCGAGCGAACAGAUAAGGAGCUUGCUCCUUUGACGUUAGCGGCGGACGGGUGAGUAACACGUGGAUAACCUACCUAUAAGACUGGGAUAACUUCGGGAAACCGGAGCUAAUACCGGAUAAUAUAUUGAACCGCAUGGUUCAAUAGUGAAAGGCGGCUUUGCUGUCACUUAUAGAUGGAUCCGCGCCGUAUUAGCUAGUUGGUAAGGUAACGGCUUACCAAGGCAACGAUACGUAGCCGACCUGAGAGGGUGAUCGGCCACACUGGAACUGAGACACGGUCCAGACUCCUACGGGAGGCAGCAGUAGGGAAUCUUCCGCAAUGGGCGAAAGCCUGACGGAGCAACGCCGCGUGAGUGAUGAAGGUCUUCGGAUCGUAAAACUCUGUUAUCAGGGAAGAACAAAUGUGUAAGUAACUGUGCACAUCUUGACGGUACCUGAUCAGAAAGCCACGGCUAACUACGUG